GUCUAUGGGACUGAUCCAAAGCCUGUUGAAGUCAAUGGGAGUCUUUUCAUUGAUCUUAAUGUGCUUAGGAUCAGACCUUAUGAC
rnacentral:pre_miRNA from 1 species